GGAGCAAUCAGGUGCAACGAGAACAGGUGCAUUACAUAAAAGCAUUUUAACGCAAUCGAAAGCAUUCUGACACUCCGCAGACCAUUCAAAUUUUUUAGAUGGACAAAGUAAUGAAGUGAGAGGGGUAACAACGGUUGAGAAAUUUUUACAGAAACUGCGGUAAUAACCAGCCAUACCUAGAAAUCUUCGCAACUCUCGUCGAGUCGCAGGGACUGGAAACUCUGCAAUAGCAGUAACCUUCACUUCCACUGGUCGUACGUAGCCUUGUCCAACCUCUUUACCCAAAUAAGUGACAGUCGCUCGACCAAACUCACACUUUGCCAAGUUGAGAGUUAAAUUAGCUGCACGUAGACGUUCGAACACCGUUCUCAACAAACUCACAUGUUCCUCCCAAGUCACAGAAUAUAACACUAAAUCAUCAAGAUAUGCAUUGCAAUUCGGUACAUCAGCCAAGACGAUAUUUACAAGACGCUGAAAAGUGGCUGGAGCGUUUCUGAGUCCGAAAGCCAUCGCUGUAUAUUGAAGGAACUUAUCUGGUGUUACAAAUGCUGAAAUGUCUGACGCUUGUGAAGUAAGUGGUACCUGCCAGUACCCUUUCAACAUAUCCAGCUUAGUAACAAAACGAGCAGACCGCAGAUUAUCAACACAGUCCUCCAUGCGGGGUAACGGAUAACUGUCUGGCACCGUUACGGCGUUCACUUUUCGAAAAUCAGUGCAAAACCUAAACGUACCGUCAGGUUUAGGCACAAGGAGACAAGGAGAGCUCCAGGGACUGCAACUAGGUCUGGCUAAGUCAUUUUCAAGCAGAUAAUUCACUUCUUGACGCAUAAUAGAUUUCUUGACUGCAUUUAUGCGAUAAGCAUUUUGCUUAAUAGGACGAGCACCGUUUACAACAAUAUCAUGCUGUAAGACAUUUGUUUGUUUAGGAACAUCACUAAACAGACAAUUAAAAUCGAAUAUUAUUUGAACAAUGUCAGUUUCCUGGUCAGCAGUUAAAUGAUUGAGAUACGAGUGAAGAUCUUCUAAAAUUUCUGAGUUGGCUAACCUUGCACACUGCUGAGGAGCGUUGCGAAGCACGACACCAUCCUCGUCAGCCCCUGAGAUACCAGAAAAUGGUUUCAGUUCCACGGCUAUUGCGACAGAAGAGACCGCGGGCCCUGCAGUUUCAUCUGAAGCUUUCACCUCAGGCAUCUCCCUGUCAUGGACCAAAGAAACGGGCAGACAAAGAUGAUCCAGGAACAG